rnacentral:rRNA from 1 species
AUUGAACGCUGGCGGCAGGCCUAACACAUGCAAGUCGAGCGGAUGAAGGGAGCUUGCGCCUGGAUUCAGCGGCGGACGGGUGAGUAAUGCCCAGGAAUCUCCCUGGUAGGGGGGGAUAACGUCCGGAAACGGGCGCUAAUACCGCAUACGUCCUGAUGGAGAAAGUGGGGGAUCUUCGGACCUCACGCUAUCAGAUGAGCCUAGGUCGGAUUAGCUAGUUGGUGGGGUAAAGGCCUACCAAGGCGACGAUCCGUAACUGGUCUGAGAGGAUGAUCAGUCACCCUGGAACUUGAACACGGUCCAGGCUCCUACGGGAGGCCGCAGUGGGGAAUAUUGGGCAAUGGGCGGAAACCUGAUCCAGCCAUGCCACGUGUGUGAAGAAGGUCUUCGGAUUGUAAAGCACUUUAUGUUGGGAGGAAGGGCAGUAAGUUAAUACCUUGCUGUUUUGACGGUACCGACAGAAUAAGCACCGGCUAACUUCGUG